CUCCUUUGACGUUAGCGGCGGACGGGUGAGUAACACGUGGGUAACCUACCUAUAAGACUGGGAUAACUUCGGGAAACCGGAGCUAAUACCGGAUAAUAUUUCGAACCGCAUGGUUCGAUAGUGAAAGGUGGUUUUGCUAUCAUUAUAGAUGGACCCGCGCCGUAUUAGCUAGUUGGUAAGGUAACGGCUUACCAAGGCGACGAUACGUAGCCGACCUGAGAGGGUGAUCGGCCACACUGGAACUGAGACACGGUCCAGACUCCUACGGGAGGCAGCAGUG
rnacentral:rRNA from 1 species